AGGAAAUUUGAUAGACCUUUUUGGGGGCUAUGUUUCGGCCGUAGUUUGGGAUAGUUUGUCCUG
rnacentral:tRNA from 1 species